ensembl:Y_RNA Y_RNA Y RNA
GUCUGGUCCAAUGGUAGUGGGUUAUCAGAACUUAUUAACGUUAGUGUCACUAAAGUUGGUAUACAACCCCCCACUGCUAAACUUGACUGGCUUAA